GUUUGUGUAGCUUAAUUCAGAGUUUAAUAUUGAAGAUAUUAAGGUAAAUUUAUUUCUCAAACA
rnacentral:tRNA from 1 species